rnacentral:tRNA from 1 species
UCCAAUAUGGUCUAGCGGUUAGGAUUCCUCGUUUUCACCGAGGCGGCCGGGGUUCGACUCCCCGUAUUGGAGC